rnacentral:rRNA from 1 species
CCUACGGGGGGCUGCAGUGGGGAAUAUUGGACAAUGGGCGCAAGCCUGAUCCAGCCAUGCCGCGUGGGUGAUGAAGGCCCUAGGGUUGUAAAGCCCUUUCGGCGGGGAAGCGGUACCCGCAGAAGAAGCCCCGGCUAACUUCGUGCCAGCAGCCGCGGGAAUACGAAGGGGGCUAGCGUUGCUCGGAAUUACUGGGCGUAAAGCGCACGUAGGCGGUUUCUUAAGUCGGGGGUGAAAUCCUGGAGCUCAACUCCAGAACUGCCUUCGAUACUGGGAAACUUGAGUUCGGGAGAGGUGAGUGGAACUGCGAGUGUAGAGGUGAAAUUCGUAGAUAUUCGCAAGAACACCAGUGGCGAAGGCGGCUCACUGGCCCGAACUGACGCUGAGGUGCGAAAGCGUGGGGAGCAAACAGGAUUAAUACCCUUGUAGUC